rnacentral:rRNA from 1 species
UACGUAGGGGGCAAGCGUUGUCCGGAAUCAUUGGGCGUAAAGCGCGCGUAGGCGGCCCGGUAAGUCCGCUCUGAAAGUCCAGGGCUCAACCCUGGAAAGCGGGUGGAUACUGCCGGGCUAGAAUCCGGAAGAGGCGAGUGGAAUUCCUGGUGUAGCGGUGGAAUGCGCAGAUAUCAGGAGGAACACCAAGAGCGAAGGCAGCUCGCUGGGACGGUAUUGACGCUAAUGCGCGAAAGCGUGGGGAGCAAACAGG